AAGAUUUUAGUUUAAAUCUAAAACAUUAAAAUUUCAAUUUAAAAUUAAUAAAACUUUAUUAAAUCUUA
rnacentral:tRNA from 1 species